GACAUUUUUCAUCCAUUCCGAGUUUAACUGUAAUUUUAUGAGUUGUCAUGCUGUUCUUAGAGUGGAUUUGAAUGCACAGUCAUAUUUGUGGUGGUCCAAAUCCUCUUUUAGUUGUAGAAGGGGAAAAGACUGUGAUGGAUCUUACUACAACCUCCUAAAUAUUCACCAGAACAGAGGAAAUAUUCAACAAAAAUGUCUGAAAAACUUCCAAAAAAACUGUCUGAAAUGUAAGUAUUUUUUUCCAAAAAGGAGGUAUUUACAACCAUUGCCUUUUUCUUACAGUGUAUAUGAUUGAAUUAAGUAAAAUGUGUUUUUAAAUGUGUAUUCCGACUGGAAAAAUCUGCUGGUCUGGACAAAGUUUGCUUAACUUGAUUCGGAUUGCGUCCUAAACCUUGCAUUUGGUCUGUAAUCAGACUCCCUUCAACCGGACAUUUCUGUUUCGAGCUAAAACUUGUAAACCGAGAGCGGUUCCUGGUCCCACAAAUACCAGCUCUCUUUAAGUGAACCAAAUCUGUUGAACCAAAGUUAUGACGAAGUGGCCAUAUUUUAUUUGCAGAAUGGCUUUUUUUUAUCUUGAAACCUCAAAAGAUAGCUGAACUUUUCAAUUUGUAAUUGUAAUAUAUUUUAGAAUCUGCAUGGUGAUAAAUAAAAGCUUUGCACUCAUUUCAUGGCAGUUAUUUGGAAUGAAGCACCAUGUGAAUACUCUUUUUUUUAACCUCUUCUCUUAAACAGCAUCAGCAACGAAGCUGUUUUAAGAGUCAAAGAGACGAAGGACAGGGAGAAGGGUCAACAUUUAUACAUUGUUGUUUAGAAAGUUUUUUUUUUUUUAAUAGUUGUGUUUUCAGGUAAAAUGUUCUUUUUAACCCUUGUGCUAUCUUUUGGUAUCCCCACCCUUACAUUGAUGUGUUCUCCCUACCAUGACAAAGGUGGAUAAAGGUGGAAAGAUUUCAUGUAAUCCAUGGACACCAGUGAAGAUCACAAAUCAUUGAAGAAAAAGGUUCAGCGCACUGUCUAGUGGGUCUAGAUGACCCAACUCCCAAUGUUAAAGUGCCUAGGACACCACAAGGGUUAAUUGUAAUUUUCUCUGCCUCAGGAUCACUUCACCUGUAGUUUUGUUGCUAAGCUUCUCCUUUAAAGCUAAACACAGUUGUCCUUUGUUCAUACAGCUUUUCAGGCAGAAACAUUUUUAUGCUGACAAUUAUUUUGCAUUUAGAGAGUAAGGUUGUGAUGUUUGAAAUAAAAUGAGGCCUAAAAAAUACACGAAAUCGGAAAAAAAUGAUUGGAUUGAUGGGUUUUGUUGCUUGUUUAUGUAAAAAUGCUGCGAAGUCACAGCUGCAUUUUGUUAAACAACAUGAAAAUGUGAGUUUGAAGAAAAUAAGAUGGCUAAUUUGCAUUUCACCUGGAAACAGGAAAU
rnacentral:lncRNA from 1 species